ACCGGAAACUGCCCCGAUCCGAGGACCUUCAUGGGCGGAAUCCGCUCGGACUGAAACAGAGCCUCCCGUUUAUCCUGGUGAGGCGUGCCCGUGAAGGACAUUUUUACGUGUAAGCAAAGCGCUUUGCUCGGCGAUGGGCGAUGAUACGGAGCGGUGACGAUGCCCGAGCCUUACUAUCCAUCAACCUUCUCCGCCUUGUGCUGUUGUUACCCGCAUUCCACUUCUUGUAUCCCGGCUCUGUUGUGAUUCUACUCAUGGGACCGGUAUUAAUAAUCUUGAUGGGGUCGAAUUCUCUGCUUCCCCGCCUGCCGCUGC
rnacentral:lncRNA from 1 species